GAUGAAGAACGUAGCGAAAUGCGAUAAGUAGUGUGAAUUGCAGAAUUCAGUGAAUCAUCGAAUCUUUGAACGCACAUUGCGCCCCUUGGUAUUCCAUGGGGCAUGCCUGUUCGAGCGUCAUUUGUACCUUCAAGCUCUGCUUGGUGUUGGGUGUUUGUCUCGCCUCUGCGUGUAGACUCGCCUCAAAAUAAUUGGCAGCCGGCGUAUUGAUUUCGGAGCGCAGUACAUCUCGCGCUUUGCACUCAUAACGACGACGUCCAAAAGUACAUUUUUACACUCUUGACCUCGGAUCAGGUAGGGAUACCCGCUGAACUUAAGCAUAUCAAAAGCGGAGGA
rnacentral:misc_RNA from 1 species